GAUCAUGGCUCAGGAUGAACGCUAGCGACAGGCUUAACACAUGCAAGUCGAGGGGCAGCGAGGGAGUGGCAACACUUCUGUCGGCGACCGGCGCACGGGUGAGUAACGCGUAUGCAACCUGCCCUUCACCAGGGGGAUAACCGGGAGAAAUUCCGACUAAUACCGCAUACGUCCUCCGGGGGCAUCCCCGGGGGAUGAAAGAAUUAUCGGUGAAGGGAUGGGCAUGCGUGAUAUUAGGUAGGUUGGCGGGG
rnacentral:rRNA from 1 species